rnacentral:lncRNA from 1 species
AAUAAUUAUGACUUCUUGAAAGGCUAUUACAUUUUUUUUAUUUGACGCCUUACUGUACAUUAGAGUAAAGCGUCCAAAAAAUAAUAUUAUAAUAGCCUUUUCAAGACGUCAUAAUAAUUUGGACUACUAGACUACCCAGAAAUUAGAAAACACUGAUAUAAAAAUUUAAUAUACAUAAAAUUGAUAAUGGAAAUGGGGAAUGUGUCAAAGAGACAACAACCCGACCAUAAAGCAGACAACAGCAGAAGGUCACCAACAUGUCUUCAAUGCAGCAAGAAAUUCCGGAGGCGUCCAUCAGCUGGCCCCUAAACAAAUAUAUAUACUAGUUCAGUGAUAAUGAACGCCAUACUAAACAUGCUAAACUCCAAAUUGUACACAAGAAACUAAAAUUAAAAAUAGUACAAGACUAACAAAGGCCAGAGGCUCCUGACUUGGGACAGGCGCAAAAUUCAAGCGGGGUUAAACAUGUUUAUGAGAUCUUAACCCUCCCCCUAUACAUGUACCUCUAGCCAAUGCAGAUGUAUGAUAUCUAUUGAUUUAAAUUGAUGUGUCAUUUCUGAAACCAUGAUUGUGGAUUCAUAUUUAUUAUUAAAUUAUUAUGUACAUGUAAUUUAUGUAUUUAUUUAGUGUAUCAUAAUCUAUUUGAACUUUUUUUUAGCUUACUCAAAAUCAAGCUGUUUGGGCCUCCUCUUGUACAUGGGAAGUGGACUCCUUGAGAAGGUGAAAGGUCUGCUUUACAUGUACGUAAUGUUAAUAUAAAAAUACAAAAAAUGUGGUGAUCAUGGUGAUAGUGAAUGAGAAAAUAGAGGAAUUUUUAAAAGUGUAAAUUCACUUUUUUCCACUUAUAAAUCUGUCAUAUUGUAAUUAUGAUAAUAAUGUUUAAAUUACAUAAUUAGGGAGCUACCAUUUGAUUUUUAGGGGGGGGGGGGGGGCUAGGAUGAAAAAUUUUGUCCUGCAUUUUUUUUCAGUUGUAAUUUCUGUCCUGCCUUUUUAUUUUUCACUCUAUUCGGUCCUGCCUUUUUUUUUUAUUAGUUUAUUCCGACUUUUUUUUACCUAAAUUGUCAUCCUGCAUUUUUUUUGCAAAGUGUCUCAUCCUGCCUUUUUUUUACACUCAAAACUCCUGUCCUGCCUAUUUUUUUCAAAUUUCAUCCUAGCCCCCCCAUAAAAAUCAAAUGGUAGCUCCCUUAUUUUCAAAAUAAAAUAUUGUUUAGGUUGCUAUAAACAGUUUCGUAUAAAAACUAGGGGUUAUUCCCCAACUAAAAAUAGACAUGGAGGGAAGUCCCUUUUUAUCAACAUAAUUGGUGAAAAAGUAUCAUGUUUUUUGUAUUUGGUUGUAAAGAUAUAUUAAUUAACUUCAAUUAAAGCAGGUUGAAUGAUUAAAAUAAUUAAAAAAAUUAGAUUAAAUAUACAUGUUUUGAGGGGAGACAACACUGUAAACAGUCUGUUUUUUUUGGCAGUGAAAAUUGAAAACUUAUUUGCAGACACUGUAGCUCUUUAUGGAGCAGGCGAACGUACCCUGAAGCAUGAAUUUUUUGAAAGACCAGGUAAAAAUCUAUGAAAUUCAUACAACUUUGAUUAUGAAAAAUGUGCAGGUAUCAUGUCUUCAGGGGUGUGCACAUGACCUGAUUUCAGGUUUUUGUCGAGCCUGCAACUUUUGUUGCAGAAAGCUCGACAUAGGGAUAGUGAUCCGGCGGCGGCGGUGUUAGCUCACUUCUUAAAAGCUUUAUAUUUUAGAAGGUGGAAGACCUGGAUGCUUCAUACUUUGUAUAUAGAUGCCUCAUGUUACGAAGUUUCCGUCAGUCACAUGUCCAAUGUCCUUGACCUCAUUUUCAUGGUUCAGUGACCACUUGAAAAAAAAGUUCAGAUUUUUCGUAAUGUUGAAUUCUCUCUUAUUAUAAGUAAUAGGAUAACUAUAUUUGAUAUGUGCGUACCUUGAAAGGUCCUCAUGUCUGUCAGACAGUUUUCACUUGACCUCGACCUCAUUUCAUGGAUCAGUGAACAAGGUUAAGUUUUGGUGGUCAAGUCCAUAUCUCAGAUACUACAAGCAAUAGGGCUAGUAUAUUCGGUGUAUGGAAGGACUGUAAGGUGUACAUGUCCAACUGGCAGGUGUCAUCUGACCUUGACCUCAUUUUCAUGGUUCAGUGGUUAUAGUUAAAUUUUUGUGUUUUGGUCUGUUUUUCUCAUACUAUAUGCAAUAGGUCUACUUUAUUUGUUGUAUGGAAUGAUUGUAAGGUGUACCUAUCUAGCAGGCAGAUGUCAUGUGACCUUGACCUCAUUUUCAUGGUUCAGUGGUCAAAGUUAAGUUUUUGAGUUUUGGUCUUUUUAUCUAAUACUAUAUGCCAUAGGUCAUCUAUAUUUGGUGUAUGGAAAUAUUUUAUGAUCUUUAUGUCAGUCGCGCAGGUUUUAUUUGACCGUGACCUCAUUUUCACAGUUCAUUGCACAGUGUUAAGUUUUUGUGUUUUGGUCUAUUUUUCUUAAACUAUAAGUAAUAGGUCAACUAUAUAUGUUGUAUAGAAGCAUUGUUAGCUGUACAUGUCUGCCUGGCAUGGUUCAUCUGACCUUGACCUCAUUUUUAAGGUUCAUUGGUCUUUGUUUAGUUAUGUUGGUUAAUGUUAAGUUUAUGUGACAGUUGUAUUAAAGCUUAGCUUUAUACUUAGGACUAUCAACAUAAUAUCAAUGAUUAGUAUAGAAGGCGAGACAUUUCAGCGUGUGCACUCUUGUUUAAGCUUAAAUUAGGCAAUGUUUUUCCCAGUUUCUCUGGAUAAAACUUUUUUAUACUAUUAAAAGUACACUUUUUUUUUAUUCCAUUAUAAACUAGAGAACAUUCUGAUUCCAGUGAUAUCUAGUUUUAUACAAGUAUCUUUAUUAAUCAGUCCACCACUAAGGGUCACUUAUACAUGGUCCCUCAAAAUAUGACGUCAUAGAAAAAAACUGUUGAUUGCACCCUUAACAAGAAAAGAAAACUCUCCACCAGAAAUCAAGUGACAUCGAAGUUAACUGUUAACAUGUACAACAAUAGGUCACUUUACAUCCUUCAACAAUGACUAUGAGCAAAGCCAAUACUGCAUAUUCAGUUUUUAAGGACCCUAUAUGAGAAUCACAAAUUUGUAAAUCAAUUCAAACAAGAAAACUAAGAGACUGAUUUAUACAAUGUAAAAUAUAAAAAACAGAACAAAAAAAAAUAUGAUAAACAGCAAGAUAAGACAAAUUGAACCACUAAAUUACACUUAUUUAGUUAGAAAUAUGUGUCGGAUGACCCCUCUUGCUAACUAACAUGCCAACAUGACUAAAAAUAGAACAUAGGGGUAAAAUGCAGUUUUUGGCUUAUACAUGUAUCUCUGAAAGCAGAAACUAAAGCAUUCAGAGCAAAUUUGACCUGGAGUUAAAAUGUUUACCAGGUUAAGAAGAGCUAUCCUUUUUUUUCAGGGAAAGUUUGUUGGUCUAGUUUAAAAGAUCAAAACUAAGCCAAUUUUGCAAGAUCAAAUAUUAAAUGCAAUUUUGGCAGAUAUUAUAACUUCAUUUCAUUAAACAUUAUUUCUUUUAGCAUUUUCAAAGAAUGUACAAGUACAAGUACUUUGAGAAGUAGGAGAAGAUAAGCAACAGAACAGAAUUCAUUUGGGUCAUUGCUGUCUAGAUUAUAUAGUGGAUUCAUAGAUUGUCAUUAUAUUGAUUUAUGUGCAUAUGAGCACAGAGGAGCAGUAGUCAAUGAAUAAUUUUGUGAUGAGAGGUAUGUUUAUAUUAAAAUGAUGCCUAGUUUAUUUGAUAAUUUUGCUCUCUUGUCAAACUCGGUAAAUCAUGACAUGUAGUUUCACAAGAUUUAUUUUAAAAUUUGAGGUCAUAGAGUUCCAAGUUUUGAUUCUUGUUGUGGGCAAGUUUGAAAAUUAUCCAUGUUAACAGUUAGAAGUGACAAAUUAUUUUUUUCACAAAACCAUAAACAAUUUAACUAAGAUUUAACCCUUUCCUCCAUGGAAUUUUUUGUUUACAAACUUGAUUCGCAUAGGCCAAGGACUGAUAAUACAUACGAUAUGAAAAAUGACAUGUUAUGAUCUUUUUAUCAUAUGCUUCAACAGUAGAGAAAAAUAACAGAUCAUAUAUUGAUCCUUCUACGUGGUUCCCGAAAAGAUCUUGAAAAGAGUAAAAAGUUCACGGACGUCGGACCCAAAAUUUGAUACAUUCAAUAAGAAAUCUUUCUAUCAUAUGCCUCAACAGAGAGAAAAAAAAAAACCAACAUUUUAAUAUGGACGAAUCGACAAAAAAUAAUUUCAACAAUAUACAUGGUGAAAAUUGUUUGGAAAAGUCAACUUUUUUUAAAGUAACUUUCUAAAUUAUGUUUCAGAAAAACUUAAAAAAUGCAUUUAUUUAAUAUUUUUUUUUUUUAAUUUAAUUUAAUUAUUUUACACAAUAUACUUUCCAGUAUUCAUAUAAUUGUUUUGUACACUACUUUGUAAUGUUUUUCACUGAAAACGUAGCAUUAAGGUGUAUUUUCCGGAAUUUGCCGAGUAUCACCGAAAUGCCAUGUGAUAACGUUACGGAAAGGCAUGUGAUAACAAUCGAAGCAUGUGAUAAACUUUUCAUAUCAGCCCGCUAAGCACCAAUUCGAAAAAUAUAGAAAAUACUUUAAUUUAAUGCUAUUAUCAUACGGUAAAAAUCAUAUGUUAUUAAGUCUAAGUAUAUGAUAAUAGAAUUUAUUGCACGCUAACUUUUAGUUAUUUUCUGUGGAAAUAUUAUAUUGCUAUGCAAUAAUAGAAUUUAUUGCACACUAACUUUUGGUUACUUUCUGUAGGAAGUAUUAUAUUGCUACAUGUAUGCAAAAAUUCUUAUUAAUUAGUGCUUCACUUAAAUGUUGACAAGUUUCUUACUCCUUGAUACAGGUCCUAAUUUGGAUUGUAAAUAAAUAUUUGACAUAUUAUAUGUUUCUGAAUAAAUGUAGUCAAAGAACUUGAAAUUGGUUACACAGCUACUUUUGCAUCUAUGUACUAUUUCUGAACCAAAAAAUAUGUAGUACUGUAGCUUCGGAGGCGACGGCAUCAACAAUGUAUUAGUUUGUGAUUAGGUCUAGUUUAUGGUGAACCACAUGUGAUAGGAUAAUCAUAUUUGGUAUGCAGUUGUAUAAGCAUUGGCACAUCUCAUUUCCAUGGAGAUUAUUUGGCCCUGCCUUCUCAGUCAUGGUCUAUUGACUUCGAAACUUUUGCUCAUACAUGUAUUAGUUUGUGAUUAGGUCAGUUUAUGGGGAACCACAAGUGGUAAGUCAAUGAUAUUUGGUAUGCAGUUGUAUAAGCAUUGGUAUAUCUCAUUUCCAUGGAGAUAAUUUGGCUCCGCCCCCUUAGUCAUGGUCUAUUGACUUUGAAAUUUUUUCUAAGUUAUCAUGUAUUAGUUUGUGAUUAGGUCAGUUCAAGGGGAACCAUUAGUGGUUGGGCAAUGUUAAUUGGUAUUCAGUUGUAUAAGCAUUGGCACAUCUCAUUUCCAUGGAGAAUAUUUGGCCUCGCCCCCUCAGUCACAGUCUAAUGACUUUGAAACUUAUCUUAGUUUACAUGUAUUAGUUUGUGAUUAGAUCAGUUUAAGAUAAACUGCUUAUGUUUAGUCAAUAAUAUUUGGUAUGCAAAUUUAUUGGCAUUUGCAAGUAUUGUUUCCAUGGAGAUUAUAUAGCCCCACCCCUCUCAUCAUGGUUCAUUGACUGUGAAACUUUUACAUAGUUUACACAUUAAUGUUUGUAAUUAGGUUUGGGAACGACUUAUACAUGUACCGUACCUAAAUGUUACAAUAAUUUUUAAGUAAAGAAAGUUAUGAUACUAAAUAUCAAAAGUAAAUGUCCAGUACUACAGAUUUUAAAUACAGAAACAUUACCUAUGCAAAAGUAGCAGUUUAUAUGAAUUCAAGAAUUGAAUCUACAUGUAUAUUCAAUUAAAGAUUUCUUGCUGUUGUGCAAUACACUGGGCUGUUGCGCAAUAAUUGGUUAAUCUGUUGUCAGACUGCAAACAAACAAUAAUUUCUCAAUGUCACAUGUAUAUCAGAAAUUUAUAAAAAGAAAACUAAAAGGAGGUUUUCUUAAUAGCUAUAAAUCGGUCAUCAAAGUUUAACGAAAUUUUAAGGAUACAUGUAUUUCCAAAAACUUGAAAGUCACCCCUUUUCUUAUGACAUGUAUGAAGAAAAUCUUAUAACUCAGAAACUGACAAACUUAAAUUUAUAAAAAUCAAAUGGGAGCUUACAACAAAAAAUAUGAACAAUUUAACUAAGUUUCAUGAUAUUCAGCAUUUUUAUGUCCCACUCAACGAAGUUUUGGGGGUAUAAUGUUUUUGACCUGUCUGUCUGACGUCAAGUCCUGUUUCUUGUCAUCACAACUGUUCUCAAACCACACAACAGAAUUUCAUGAAAUCUUUUUAGAUAAUAAGGACAUACAAUGUAGAUGUGCAUAUCGACAGGAAAUUAAGAUUCAAUUUUUUUUUUUUAGGAGUUAAGCCCCUUUGAACUUAUUUGCUUUAAUGUACUACUUCAACAGUUUGUUAUUGCAACUCUCCUGAAUCCACACAACAGAAUUUCAUGAAACUUUGUAGAUAAUAAGGACAUACUAUGUAGAUGUGCAUAUCAACAGGAAAUUACAAUUCAUUUUUUUUUUCUAGGAGUUAUGCCCCUUUGAACUUAUUUGCUUUAUUACUACUUCAACAGUUUGUCAUUGCAACUCCUCUGAAUCCACACAACAGAAUUUCAUGAAACUUAGUAGAUAAUAAGGACAUACUAUGUAGAUGUGCAUAUUGACAGGAAAUUAUGAUUCAAUUGAAGUUUAUCAAUUGCCAAGGUACAUUGAAAGGUUGUUCUUUUAUUAAAAUCUGCACAUACAUGUAUAUAUAGGAUUUUUUUAUAAGCUUAAACUUGAUCUUCUUUCUGUUGUUAGCUUACAUUUUGUUUCAAUUUACUUAAAAGUAAAAGUAUAUAGGAAAGGUAUAAAUUAGUGAGCAUCGGUUCAUACUACAUAUAGUUUUUGUCUGGACUUCUUGAUUAAUUUAUAUAUAUAUAUACAAUUUUAGCUUGUUACCAAAUGAAAGGAAAGGACAUUAUUGGCAAGGAUUGAUAUUACUGGUGAACAUGUAUGUCAUGUAGGUGUGAAUGCCCUGCAAAACAGACCUGAUAUCAAAGUAAGUUCAUCUGUAGAAUUGCAGUUAAUUUAAAUAAUUUUAUGUUAUCUACCUAAAACUGUUUCAAGUUUAAUUGUACAUGUACAGUGUUGCUUAUUUUUCUCACUUUCUGAUUCAAUGCAUGCAUUAAGCCUUACUCUGCUCGCCUCCUUCUGCUCCAUACACACACACUUGAGAUGUCAGAAAUUCAGACUAUCAUAGCAUUUACAUUACAAACUUACCUAGUCAGACUGGCCAAUAUUAUGUUUUGAUAAGUUAAACGUUGUUAUUUAGAAAACAUAAAAUAUUUGCCACUGGACAUUCAAAUAAGCAAAAAAAAAACGACCAGUUAAUGAUUUUGCAUUAACAGAAUGAAUUUGCAAACAUAUAACAAUUAGCUUAUGUAAUUCAUGGAAGUUAGAUUUAUAUUCUUUAUGAAUAUUUUAUUUCAGUUACCAUCACAGUGAACAUGGUGAAGAAUAACCAAUACCAUGAAUACAGGACACAGAAGACUACCUCACAAACUUGGGAAUUUUACAAAAAAUAGAACGUUUAAAUUUACAAAGAAGAC